UGUAGUGACGUUACGGUAUGUAUAUAAUGCGAGCUGCGCUGCUUUCUUCCCACAGCUGUCUCCUCUCAUCUUAAUUCGUGUUGUAUGAUUGGUAGAACUGUUAUACUCUUCAUUUUGCGACAACAUGUGCAUGCAACGUUUCCACCAAAGGAUUUUCGCAUUUUUGGAAUGAUUCAACAUGAACUCUGUGAAUUAUUAAAAUCUAUUUUGAAAUGCUUAUCCGCUGGAUUUGUUUACAAGGCUGACGUUUUUGUUUAAAUGUAUAUACUUGCAUAGGCAUUUGGACCUCAUAGUACAAUCUACAUGACGACGCAUGUCGCGCAUUUUGUUGCACAGACAUGUAUAAACACAAAGUGUGUGGUGUUUUAAGUGUUUACAAUGUUUUAGAUGGAACAUAAUAAAAUGUCGGUUCAAUUUCAGUAUAUGUUUUAUUUGUGGUUCAUCGGAUUAUAAUUGUAAUUGUUUUGUAAACUGUGCCCAGAUUAACGAGAUGCUGUGAUUAACGCACCAUUUUUGCUAUUUAUUAUACUGGAUUAUGCAUAAUCGCCUGUCUCUGCAAGGGGAUCACCCUCUUUUGUUGUUCGAAAAUAAUCGAUUUGAAUGCAAUUGGCAUUACCGGUAUUUUAGGCCCGUAAAAGGUGACGAUCCGUAAUUAUUACCGAUUUUUAAAUAUUUUGUGCAUAUUUUAUUUAUAGAGGUUCUCAAAAAAAAUAAAUAUGCUAUUGGACAUUACAAUAAAAAAAAUGAGCAAUACAACUUGUUUUGAGCUUAAAUACAGUGUCCUCCAAGUCAAUUGUGUUUACAAACAAUCAGUUUAUUUACAUCGCUGUUUACUCAAUCAUGCCGAGCGAUUGCGAGCCGGUUUUCUCGCUUUUUUCUUUUAAUUGGUCGGCCCAAUACAUUGUGUAUCACGUGCAACGUUGCAAUUACAAUCAAGGCAAACGUGAAAUCAAGAAAAUGAAACAUAUAUUAAAACAAGUAUGCAUGAUAGAUAUACUUUUAUUUUCUACAGCAAAAAAUGUUACCUAACUCAUGUUCUCUUUCUUUGUUUACGAGGAUAUCGUGUUGUUUGUACCACGUCAUCAAUAUAUGCGUACUUUACGAAAGAAGCCGAAGAACAUCGGAGAUAGCGAAAAUGUACGGAAAAGUUAUUAACAUUUCUUCAAAUUAUGAAACGGGUAUAUCUUCCAUAAUUUAUGACAACGUUGCUCCUAAGCUGUUUUAUUAUCAUUUUUUAUGAAAGAGUAACUGAAAUCCGGUAAAAAGUAGACCAGUUUAUAUGCAUAAUAUUUGGAUUUGUCACCUUUUACGAGCCUUUAAGAAGUACACAUGCCUUGCGUUAUCGUCAAACAUAUGUUGGGUUUUAGACUGGUCGACGCUUUGAGAUGUCCACGCAGUUAUGUUUGUUCUAUUAAGUCUGCUUUAGUCUACCUAUUUAUCUGUGUUUGGAUGUAGGUGUGUUUGUUUCAAUAGUUUUCCAUCCAAGCUACAUAUCUCACAUGCCUAUUUCACGUAUUAUUAACAGGUGAUAACCUACACGAUUCAUCAUCUACUUACCUGUUGAGCACGCACUAUGUUCAACGUAAAUGUUGCGCAUGAUUGAGUUUGAUUUUCUCUUAAUCUGUUGUGCACGCUUUGUUUUCUACUGUUGUGUAUCUUCUAUUAAAAUGUUCUUCGCCAUGUAUUUUGUUACAUAUUAUUAUGCACGCUAUAUAUUUUACUUAUCAGUUUAUACCAAUCUGUUUGUACGCUUUAAUGUUGUCGAAUCUGUUGUAAUCGCUAAAGUUUACACUAUGUGCACGCUUUUUUUUAAAACCUGUUGUGUACGCUUGCUUUUUUAUAGGCCAACGUGUAUCGUCUGCUUAUGGAAUAAUUGUAUGGAAUUUUGUGUGGAGGUAGAAUACACGUAGAACUAGCUUGUAAUUAAAUGUGGACCUGUUACGUCAAGGACACUGUAACCAAAGAUGGUUUCCAUUCCAUUACUUGAAGUUGUAUGACGCUAUUGCGUUGAAAUUGUGUGUGUAUGUUGCUUAUGUGUAUACCUAGCGAAGGAUUUCGUUUAGGAGCAGUCAGGUUCAGGUGGAGGUAAAAAUAGAAAGAAACGGUUUUUAACCAGGUUUUCCGAAGGAAAAAACUGGUUAUUAGAUUGGCGAAUGCGGGCGGGCUGGCUGGCUGGCUGGCGGGCUGGCGGGCGGGCGGGCGGAACAAGCUUGUCCGGGCCAUAACUAUGUCGUUCAUUGUCAGAUUUUAAAAUCAUUUUGCACAUUUGUUCACCAUGAUUGGACGGUGUGUCGCGCGAAAUAAUUACGUCGAUAUCUCCAAGGUCAAGGUCACACUUUGAGUUCAAAGGUCAAAAAUGGCCAUAAAUGAGCUUUUCCUGGCCAUACCUAUGUCAUUCAUUGUGAGAUUUUAAAAUCAUUUGGCACAUUUGUUCACCAUCAUGGGACGGUGUGUCGCACGAAAGAAUCACGUCAAUAUCUCCAAUGUCAAGGUCGCCACGACUAAAAAUAGAUUUAAAAAAAAACAAACUUACAAAGAGGGUUAAUUUUGUUUGUUCAUUUCAAAAGUUCAGUUUGAGUUUUCUCCCUUUAUCAGUUUUUUUUUUCACAAUGAAAACCUGGUUUUGUAGCAAUUUUGUCCCUUGUUGCUCUUUAACUUGAGUUAAGAUGAGUAUAUAUUGCGCUUAAACUGUGUGGUUAAGAAGCUUCUUUUCAUUAAGUUUGCGAUUUCUUCCGGGGUCAGUUGGGUCAAGUUAAAGGUAACUGUUUCUCAAUAAAAGAAAAAUCGUGCCCUCUCGAUAGCUAGAGAUUUUAUUCUGAAAUUGUGUAAGUUGGUAGCUUACACACAGACCUAUGUUGGGUCUGCAUUUAGGACCAGUUGGAUCAAGGUCAAGGUUACUGUUCAUUUAACAAGAAUAUAUGUUUUCCACUUAAUAACUUAAUAGCGAUUAUAUUAAAUUCAAUUAUUAUUUUUAACAUUGAAAACCCAAGUUGUGUGGCUUUGUCAUGUGUCUUUUGUAAACUUUACUUUAGCCUACAAGCACAGUGUUCUCUACGGGUGUCUUUGUGCCUUCUGUCUGUGUACUCUACGGGUGUCUUUUUUCCAUCUGUUAAGGUAACCAUGCCACUAACAUAUGACGGUGAUUGUCGUGGUGCCUAUUAGUAAGAAGGGAUCGUUGCAGCAUCGAUAAAUCAAUUUUGAAAUCAAUCCAAUAUACAUUGCGAUUGUAUUUAAACAUGGCACCAGAAAAAAUAAUACGGGCAUAAACCAUCUUUAAAGAGAUAUUCAAAAAGAAUGAAAAACAUAUUAACGGGUUAAUGUCGAUACAAAUAACUUUGCUGCUAGGUCAUGGAUACUGUAUUACAUUUUCUGUUAUUGAAUUAAGUAAUCAUAAUAAUACCAUUGUUCAACAUAUUCUGAAUUACAAGGUAUGCUGAAAUGUUAGGCGUUUACAUAUUUAAAUGAAAGGCAGAUGCAUUUAAUAACACAACAUGUAUUAAUAUUUCGUUUUAAUUGGUCCCAUCACAUCUGGUAAGCACACAUUUAAGGAAGAAAUGAUCUCAAUUUAUAGAGUAAACUAUUUUAGUUGUAUUGUUAGUUCGAGGCUUGCAACUUACAUUUAACGUUGUGUUUCGAGAUAAGUAAGUUAAUAUUCAAAACAUUAAGCUAUUUGAUAUUUAAUGAAGUCUUAUUGUGUAAUUCAGUGACGUCGUUUGACUUAAGUUACUGGAUAUGAAAUGCUACGGACCACAUUUGAAAAAAAGCAUCCUUAGUAUGUGACAUGGAUUAGCAAAUAUAACAUAUUAUGUUCAAGGUAAGGCAUGUUUCGUAUAAUCGCAUCUGUUAUACAAGCGGGCGACAUAUCAUACGCAUUUUUUUUAUUUAACAAUUUAAGAAAAUUGGCUUACUUAUUUUAUUUCGCAUAACUGCAACUAAUUGAAGUGCUUCAAACUCGGCAAUGAUGAUAAUGGUGUUUAAAGUACCGGCAAAUGCAUAAGUAGUCCUGACUGCAAAUAUUAAAUAAAUUUAAUAUGAAUUAAACUAUCCUAAUUUAAUGACAAUUAACUGUGCAAUGACAUUCUUGUCGAUAUUGUUUCUAUUAUAAACAAAUCGGCUUUGAGGUGCCUAAGAUCUUUCUGCAUCACUGUUUAGAUGGCUGAAGGUGGCGCCAGACGUGAUGAACCAGGAGGAUUCCCUAGACAGGACAGAACGUGCAACCAACAGGCCCUAAUGGCUGAAGGUGGCGCCAGACGUGAUGAACCAGGAGGAUUCCCUAGACAGGACAGAACGUGCAACCAACAGGCCCUAUGGGACAAUGCCUCCGUAGAGACAUGCACGGUGAUGACCUGGCUCGGGUAUGGACCGGAGAUCAGACAGGCACGGAGAGAUGCAUACAUGGAAUAUUGCAGGCAUUGUACUGCACGGCUCAGAGGAGCGGCAACGUGUAUUAUAACUGGAAGCAAGGCUGAGGGGCUGACCUCCUUCCUGGAAAGUGAUAGGGAUCAAAUGUUGUAACUAAAAGUGUUAUAUGUUUAGAAGACGGUGUUAAUGCUAGUAAAUUUCCAAGGGAGAUAACCGUGUUAAAGUCAUGCAGCCGUAUGAGUUACCCCGGACACUGUAGGCUGCUACUAGUGAGACGCGGAACAACGAUUCAAUCGAACGUAAACGAUGCGUUAUGUGAUGAUGGAUUUGGUCGCUGUAAACUUCUCAGCAGUGACUUAUAUGUGAAUACCUGGACAAACACUGAACUUCAGAAAGGCGAGGUGCAGCAUGACCGUGUGGGACCGUCAAUACCAAUUUCAUUUUGCCGAACAUUACACGCAGACUAUUUACAUGCAUUACGUUACGACUGUCCCAACAUCCUGUUAAAAUGGGCCUCAAGACCUCGCCACUGGCCGCCAUCGGAAGCCGUUUAUCAAGUCAUAUCACUUGGAGCAUUUCUUUCGCCUGUUGGAUUUAAAGGCAUUGAUUAUCAAGGUGUUGAAUGGAGAGUAUGCUUAACGCCGGGGAGAUCAAACUUGUAAACAGUCUUGAUGACACUCAAAUUAAACUGUAUGUUUUAUUGAAAAUGGUAAAGAACGAUGUAUUAAAUCCACGUCAAAAGGAAUUUUUAUCUUACACGUUGAAAAACAUUGUAUUUUGGAUAGCGGAAAAUAAUCCUCAAUUCACGUUUCAUGAAAGAAGUAUGUUGUACUGGUUGCACGAAGGAUUGAAUGCGUUAAAAGUGUUUUUGGUCACCCGAGAGCUGCCAUAUUAUAUUAUAUAAGACAGAAAUCUGAUGGCAGCCUGUGGGCUUGAGGAUAAACAACAGCGUAAAUCGAUAUCAACGAUUACAGAAAUGAUGAAUGAAGGUCUAAGGAUGAUACUAAGACUUCCGAAGAUACGACAAGCCAUUAUUGCACAUCCUGAACCACUCAGAUGGUACAUCAAGAGGAAAAUUGAGCUGGAAUUGCUGAUGCUUAUGCAAUUGAACAUUAUUCCCUUCUGCAAGGAUUAGACCGGGGUAUUUAACAUGUCUGAUGAAGUUAAGGAUGAAUUACCGAGGCGCAUAAACAUGAUUGUGGGGGAGGUUUGCCAGAGGAUGAUUAUGGAAGGGAAUGUAGUUAACAACCCGAAUGAGGUUGUAAAGAAGAUGUUGAUGUAAAACGAUUACAUUUAUCAAUUAUUCACUAAGCACAAAUAACAUUCAUUGAUAAAUUGUGAGAACGUUCACCCAUUGAAGUAUAAAAGAGCAGUGUGAAGACGAAAAUACUUACUGAAAAAAAAAAGAUGAAUGUAGGUAAUUAGUAUGUGUUUAGUAUUUGAUGUUUAUAUUGUUGACGUAGUUUGCAAAUGGUGUCCAUUUCGAGCAAACCGUCAGCGGUCGGCAACAACCUUUACCAUGACAAUAUAAUUUGCUAAUAUUGAUUGUUUCCAAACAUUCAAUCUGUUCAUUAAUCGAAAGCAUUAUUGUUAUUCGUUGACGAUAAACUGAUAUUGUGAUCGACAAUGCUGUCGAACAUGUAUUGAAAAGAUUAUUUGUGCCGUUAUAUUUAAAAAAAAUAUUUUCAGAUAUUUUUUAUGUUGCCUCGGAAGUUGCUUCGAUAGUCUUAAUGUUGAAUUUAUUAAAAACAGACAUGAUGCAGUUCUUAUUUGCAAAUUGAUAACGUUAUUUUUCAGGUAAAUGUAUUAAUGCACAUGAUUUCUAUCGAAAACGAUGUGAAGUUUCAAGAACUUAUAUAACUGACAACGAAUAUACAUGUAUCUUUCUAAACAAUACGUGUUUGCAUUUUAGCUAUAGAAUAUAUAUGUUUUAUAGUACUAUUUUUUUUAUGUGGAAAAAGUUUAACCAAUGGUUAAAGUUAUAGUUACAUCAGCCGUUUUUCUGGUUAUACCGUAAUUCUCUUAUUCUCUGUAAACGCAUGUAUAAUUGUGUUAGUGCUCGUCGUUUAUAGCGUGAUUACGGUACUAUUUGAGUCGUGACUACUUCAUCGGUGUAUUUUAUGUAAGGUCCGCAUUCAUUCUGUAAGCUCAAUUUAUAUAAAAUGCCACAUGUAUAAUCAGCGUUUUCGUUGCUUUCGCCUGGGUAAAUGCAGCAAAACUAUGUGUAUUUCUGUUGAUGAAUUGAAUUUUCUUUACCUGUUGGUUUCGUUUAACCGAUGGACGUUUAUCUGCUCAUAGGUAUAGAUUUUCUUUUAAGAUGUCAAGUUGUCGUUGUCAAUACAUUAAUGCAUAGCCGUUUGGUUGUUAACGUCAAUAAAUAUAAUGACUGUUGUUCUCUUGAAUGUUUUGAUGCAAAUACUGUUUUGAUUGCUUGGAUGUAUUAAUAACACUAGUGUUCAUAUCAUUUAUAAUAUAUCGAUUAGAAUAUAUAUUUGAAACUGUUAGCAAUACAGUGUUGAACGUGACUGACAUAAACUUACUUCUAUAUUGAGACACGCAUGUAACUGUCGUCGAUUUCAUGUUUUUGUUUGCCAUGUCAAGAAUAAACGAUCAUAUGGAAAAUGUAUUCGCCUUUUACAAAAAGCCAAUUUUCAUAAUUAUUCUGUAAUUUUCUAUAUUUUCUUAGCGAUAAUUGACAAGUUU